UGCAUCUAUUUGAAGACCUGGAACAGCUACUGUCUGCUACCAAGGUUUCCACUAUAGAUACAAGAAAACAGUAUUCUAUCUUGUUUAGCCUACCUGACCGUGGCAGUCAAAAUUGAAUGGGAUAAUACAGUA
rnacentral:snoRNA from 1 species